rnacentral:rRNA from 1 species
UAAGAACGGCCAUGCACCACCACCCACAGAAUCAAGAAAGAGCUAUCAAUCUGUCAAUCCUUACUAUGUCUGGACCUGGUGAGUUUCCCCGUGUUGAGUCAAAUUAAGCCGCAGGCUCCACUCCUGGUGGUGCCCUUCCGUCAAUUCCUUUAAGUUUCAGUCUUGCGACCAUACUCCCCCUGGAACUCAAAGACUUUGAUUUUUCAAAAAAUGCCGAAGGAAUCAACAGGCAACCGCCUCCAAUUUCUUGGUAGCAUAGUUUAUGGUCAAGACUAGGACGGUAUCUAAUCGUCUUCGAUCCCCUAACUUUCGUUCUUGAUUAAAGAAGACAUCCUUGGCAAAUGCAUUCGCAUUAGUUUGUCUUUAACAAAUCCAAGAAUUUCACCUCUGACAGUUAAAUACAAAUGCCCCCAACCAUCCCCAUCAAUC